CCUACGGGGGGCAGCAGUGAGGAAUAUUGGGCAAUGGAGGCAACUCUGACCCAGCCAAGCAGCGGGAGUGAAGAAGGUUUUCGGAUUGUAAAGCUCUUUCGGAUGUGACGAUGAUGACGGUAGCAUCUAAAGAAGCCCCGGCUAACUUCGUGCCAGCAGCCGCGGUAAUACGCAGGGGGCAAGCGUUGUUCGGAAUUACUGGGCGUAAUGGUAGUGUAGGCGGUUUAGUAAGAUAGUGGUGAAAUCCCAGGGCUUAACUUUGGAAUUGCCAUUAAAACUAGUAGACUAGAAUUCCAGAGAGGAUAGUGGAAUACGCAGUGUAGAGGUGAAAGUCGUAGAUAUUGGGUAGAACACCAGUGGCGAAGGCGACUAUCUGGCUGUACAUUGACGCUGAGGCUCGAAAGCAUGGGGAUCAAACAGGAGUAGAUACCCGAGUAGUC
rnacentral:rRNA from 1 species